UACAGAGGGGGCAAGCGUUGUUCGGAAUUACUGGGCGUAAAGGGCGCGUAGGCGGCCUCUUAAGUCGAACGUGAAAUCCCCGGGCUCAAUCCGGGAACUGCGUCCGAUACUGGGGAGGCUUGAAUCCGGGAGAGGGAUGUGGAAUUCCAGGUGUAGCGGUGAAAUGCGUAGAUAUCUGGAGGAACACCGGUGGCGAAGGCGGCAUCCUGGACCGGUAGUUGACGCGUG
rnacentral:rRNA from 1 species